GAUGAACGCUGGCGGCGUGCCUAAUACAUGCAAGUCGAGCGAACAGACGAGGAGCUUGCUCCUCUGACGUUAGCGGCGGACGGGUGAGUAACACGUGGAUAACCUACCUAUAAGACUGGGAUAACUUCGGGAAUCCGGAGCUAAUACCGGAUAAUAUAUUGAACCGCAUGGUUCAAUAGUGAAAGACGGUUUUGCUGUCACUUAUCGAUGGAUCCGCGCCGCAUUAGCUAGUUGGUAAGGUAACGGCUUACCAAGGCAACGAUGCGUAGCCGACCUGAGAGGGUGAUCGGCCACACUGGAACUGAAACACGGUCCAGACUCCUACGGGAGGCAGCAGUAGGGAAUCUUACGCAAUGGGCGAAAGCUUGACGGAGCAACGCCGCGUGAGUGAUGAAGGUCUUCGGAUCGUAAAACUCUGUUAUUAGGGAAGAACAAAUGUGUAAGUAACUAUGCACGUCUUGACGGUACCUAAUCAGAAAGCCACGGCUAACUACGUG
rnacentral:rRNA from 1 species